CUAUGUGUUUUCUAAACUCAAGCCUGUAGAGGGAGCCGGAGUCUUUUGGUCUGGAAGUGUCUACGGUGAGCGCUAUGUAGACCAGAUGGGUGUGAUUGGAUAUUUCCCCAGUAACCAUGUCAAUGAGACAAUGAGUUUUUCAGAAGAAAACGGUUGAGAUCCCAACCACUGACAUGGACUUCUUUUGCGCUUAAAGACAGCAACUUGCGCCAGC